GCAGGCUGGCGGCGGACGAGUGCCUCGCCAACCCGGUCAGGUCCGGAAGGAAGCAGCCGUAACGAGUUUUGCUCGGGUCAUCGCCAGUCUGCGCC
rnacentral:SRP_RNA from 1 species